UACGUAGGUCCCGAGCGUUGUCCGGAUUUAUUGGGCGUAAAGCGAGUGCAGGUGGUUUAUUAAGUCUGGUGUAAAAGGCAGUGGCUCAACCAUUGUAUGCAUUGGAAACUGGUAGACUUGAGUGCAGGAGAGGAGAGUGGAAUUCCAUGUGUAGCGGUGAAAUGCGUAGAUAUAUGGGGGAACACCGGUGGCGAAAGCGGCUCUCUGGCCUGUAACUGACACUGAGGCUCGAAAGCGUGGGGAGCAAACAGG
rnacentral:rRNA from 1 species